rnacentral:sRNA from 1 species
CACUAGCCCCGAUAGCAGCGGCAUCCUUUUGUCUCGUUUUUUUUUUAACGAGACAAAAGAUAUAGCGAAAAGCGGGAAAUAGC